CUACCUCAUACAGGGGGAUAACAGUUGGAAACGACCGCUAAUACCGCAUAACCCGCUAGUAUCGCAUGAUACGGACGGAAAAGAUUUAUCGGUAUGAGAUGGACCCGCGUCUGAUUAGCCAGUUGGCAGGGUAACGGCCUACCAAAGCAACGAUCAGUAGCCGGCCUGAGAGGGUGAACGGCCACAUUGGGACUGAGACACGGCCCAAACUCCUACGGGAGGCAGCAGUGGGGAAUAUUGCACAAUGGGGGAAACCCUGAUGCAGCGACGCCGCGUGAGUGAGGAAGUAUUUCGGUAUGUAAAGCUCUAUCAGCAGGGAAGAAAAUGACGGUACCUGACUAAGAAGCCCCGGCUAACUACGUGCCAGCAGCCGCGGUAAUACGUAGGGGGCAAGCGUUAUCCGGAUUUACUGGGUGUAAAGGGAGCGUAGACGGUUAAUCAAGUCAGAAGUGAAAACCCAGGGCUCAACCUUGGGACUGCUUUUGAAACUGAGUAGCUAGAGUGCAGGAGAGGUAAGCGGAAUUCCUAGUGUAGCGGUGAAAUGCGUAGAUAUUAGGAGGAACACCAGUGGCGAAGGCGGCUUACUGGACUGUAACUGACGUUGAGGCUCGAAAGCGUGGGGAGCAAACAGGAUUAGAUACCCUGGUAGUCCACGCCGUAAAC
rnacentral:rRNA from 1 species